UACCGCUGGGGGUGCCGCAAGGCUGAGAGGGCGUAUCUGCCCGACCCUUGGAACCUGUCUGGAUCAUGCCAACGGAGGGAAGCGG
rnacentral:ncRNA from 1 species